rnacentral:lncRNA from 1 species
UGGGUGUCUAGUAUUUUGGUCAGGGAGUUUGAUGCAGACAUGUUUCUUGUAGAGAGUCAAAAGUUUCUAGUUAGAUUUUGUAAUCAGACAACCAAUUUGUUUAGGGGUUUCAUUUUUAAACAAAUUAGCCUUCCACUAUUUUCUCAGAUCCCUACACUCCUUAGGUAGAGAUAUGAAAAUCUCUGUGAUUAGUGAUUUCUAGUGGGUGGUGCGGUCUCACCGACUGGCUCACCACCUCACCUAACAGUUAUUGGUGAUGGGUCAACCGAUGAGUGGACAACUCUUGUCCAAAGAUUCUCUAAUCAUGGUGCACCCAAAACUUGGUCUCUAAUUCAUGAAGCUCACCGUGCCCAGAAUAUUGCUCCAAUCCUUAGUUAAGUCAGACCCACCAUUUACACGAAUUAGAUUCCUGAUUGGAUCCCUCACCAUAUCUGGAAUAUUGAGCACAACUCAUCCUCUAAUCCAUAGCAUCCAAUGCCUAAUGGACAUGGUUACGUCUUUCCGGUGC